GACGGAGGAUGCAAGCGUUAUCCGGAAUGAUUGGGCGUAAAGCGUCCGCAGGUGGCAGUUCAAGUCUGCUGUCAAAGACCGGGGCUUAACUUCGGAAAGGCAGUGGAAACUGAACAGCUAGAGUAUGGUAGGGGCAGAGGGAAUUCCUGGUGUAGCGGUGAAAUGCGCAGAUAUCAGGAGGAACACCGGUGGCGAAGGCGGGUCUCUGGGCCGAUACUGACGCUGAGGAGCGAAAGCGUGGGGGAGCGAACAGG
rnacentral:rRNA from 1 species